CAAAACAUUUGAUCAAGCAACUUAAAUACACAAUGAAACCAUUUGAAUCUAAAGACAUUCAAAGAUAAUAUUUGUCAUCAAUCCCUUCAAUCCUUUUGCUAUAACGUUAAAGUAGUCUGGCUUCUAGGUGUAAGGUGAUGGACUGGGCUAUUAGCUGAUCAGACAGGACCAGACAGUCUGAGGGGGUCAGUCAUGGAUGGUGUAAGGUGAUGGACUGGGCUAUUAGCUGAUCAGACAGGACCAGACAGUCUGAGGGGGUCAGUCAUGGAUGGUGUAAGGUGAUGGACUGGGCUAUUAGCUGAUCAGACAGGACCAGACAGUCUGAGGGGGUCAGUCAUGGAUGGUGUAAGGUGAUGGACUGGGCUAUUAGCUGAUCAGACAGGACCAGACAGUACCAGACAGUCUGAGGGGGUCAGUCAUGGAUGGUGUAAGGUGAUGGACUGGGCUAUUAGCUGAUCAGACAGGACCAGACAGUCUGAGGGGGUCAGUCAUGGAUGGUGUAAGGUGAUGGACUGGGCUAUUAGCUGAUCAGACAGGACCAGACAGUCUGAGGGGGUCAGUCAUGGAUGGUGUAAGGUGAUGGACUGGGCUAUUAGCUGAUCAGACAGGACCAGACAGUCUGAGGGGGUCAGUCAUGGAUGGUGUAAGGUGAUGGACUGGGCUAUUAGCUGAUCAGACAGGACCAGACAGUCUGAGGGGGUCAGUCAUGGAUGGUGUAAGGUGAUGGACUGGGCUAUUAGCUGAUCAGACAGGACCAGACAGUCUGAGGGGGUCAGUCAUGGAUGGUGUAAGGUGAUGGACUGGGCUAUUAGCUGAUCAGACAGGACCAGACAGUCUGAGGGGGUCAGUCAUGGAUGGUGUAAGGUGAUGGACUGGGCUAUUAGCUGAACAGACAGGACCAGACAGGACCAGACAGUCUGAGGGGGUCAGUCAUGGAUGGUGUAAGGUGAUGGACUGGGCUAUUAGCUGAUCAGACAGGACCAGACAGUCUGAGGGGGUCAGUCAUGGAUGGUGUAAGCUGAUGGACUGGGCUAUUAGCUGAUCAGACAGGACCAGACAGGAACAGACAGGACCAGACAGGACCAGACAGUCUGAGGGGGUCAGUCAUGGAUGGUGUAAGGUGAUGGACUGGGCUAUUAGCUGAUCAGACAGUCUGAGUCAUGGAUGCUCCAGGAUCAUGUUCAAGGGUGACAGGUAGCCUAGUGGUUAGAGUGGAGGGACGGCAGGUAGCCUAGUGGUUAGAGUGGAGGGACGGCAGGUAACCUAGUGGUUAGAGUGGAGGGACGGCAGGUAACCUAGUGGUUAGAGUGGAGGGACGGCAGGUAGCCUAGUGGUUAGAGUGGAGGGACGGCAGGUAACCUAGUGGUUAGAGUGGAGGGACGGCAGGUAACCUAGUGGUUAGAGUGGAGGGACGGCAGGUAGCCUAGUGGUUAGAGUGGAGGGACGGCAGGUAGCCUAGUGGUUAGAGUGGAGGGACGGCAGGUAACCUAGUGGUUAGAGUGGAGGGACGGCAGGUAACCUAGUGGUUAGAGUGGAGGGACGGCAGGUAGCCUAGUGGUUAGAGUGGAGGGACGGCAGGUAGCCUAGUGGUUAGAGUGGAGGGACGGCAGGUAACCUAGUGGUUAGAGUGGAGGGACGGCAGGUAACCUAGUGGUUAGAGUGGAGGGACGGCAGGUAACCUAGUGGUUAGAGUGGAGGGACGGCAGGUAGCCUAGUGGUUAGAGUGGAGGGACGGCAGGUAACCUAGUGGUUAGCGUGGAGGGACGGCAGGUAACCUAGUGGUUAGAGUGGAGGGACGGCAGGUAGCCUAGUGGUUAGAGUGGAGGGACGGCAGGUAGCCUAGUGGUUAGAGUGGAGGGACGGCAGGUAGCCUAGUGGUCAAAGCGCUGGGCCAGUAACCGAAAGGUUGAUAAAUCGAAUCCCCGAGCUGACAAGGUAAAAAUCUGUCGUUCUGCACCUGAACAAGGCAGUUAAACCCACUGUUCCCCGGUAGGCCGUCAUUGUAAAAAAUAAUUUGAUCUUAACUGACUUGCCAAGUUAAAUAAAGUUUAAAUAUAUGUUAAAAGGGGGCCAGUAGAGGGCUGGGAGAUUUACUGUUGCUACGGUGCAGACGGCCUGCCACUACAAUGUACACUAAAGCUCAUACAUUAGACCAACACUGUAAGCAUUUCACUGGACCAGAGCAAAAACAGAUCUGGGACCAGGCUACAUAGAUGAGUCUGCUAUCAAGUCUUUGGAGGAAAAACAAAAGAGAAAUAUAUUUU